UGGGGAAUAUUGCACAAUGGGCGCAAGCCUGAUGCAGCCAUGCCGCGUGUAUGAAGACGGCCUUCGGGUUGUAAAGUACUUUCAGCGAGGAGGAAGGCGUUGUGGUUAAUAACCGCAACGAUUGACGUUACUCGCCGAAGAAGCACCGGCUAACUCCGUGCCAGCAGCCGCGGUAAUACGUAGGGUGCAAGCGUUAAUCGGAAUUACUGGGCGUAAAGCGCACGCAGGCGGUCUGUCAAGUCGGAUGUGAAAUCCCCGGGCUCAACCUGGGAUCUGCAUCCGAAACUGGCAGGCUAGAGUCUUGUAGAGGGGGGUAGAAUUCCAGGUGGAGCGGUGAAAUGCGUAGAGAUCUGGAGGAAUACCGGUGGCGAAGGCGGCCCCCUGGACAAAGACUGACGCUCAGGUGCGAAAGCGUGGGGAGCAAACA
rnacentral:rRNA from 1 species